GCGCCCGUAGCUUAACGGAUAGAGCAUCUGACUACGGAUCAGAAGGUUGGGGGUUCGAAUCCCUCCGGGCGCGCCA
rnacentral:tRNA from 20 species